CCUACGGGGGGCAGCAGUCGAGAAUCAUUCACAAUGGGGGAAACCCUGAUGGUGCGACGCCGCGUGGGGGAAUGAAGGUCUUCGGAUUGUAAACCCCUGUCAUGUGGGAGCAAAUUAAAAAGAUAGUACCACAAGAGGAAGAGACGGCUAACUCUGUGCCAGCAGCCGCGGUAAUACAGAGGUCUCAAGCGUUGUUCGGAAUCACUGGGCGUAAAGCGUGCGGAGGCUGUUUCGUAAGUCGGGUGUGAAAGGCGGGGGCUCAACCCGCGGACGGCACAUGAUACUGCGAGACUAGAGUAAUGGAGGGGGAACCGGAAUUCUCGGUGUAGCAGUGAAAUGCGUAGAUAUCGAGAGGAACACUCGUGGCGAAGGCGGGUUCCUGGACAUUAACUGACGCUGAGGCACGAAGGCCAGGGGAGCGAAAGGGAUUAGAUACCCCAGUAGUC
rnacentral:rRNA from 1 species